CGUCCUCCAGAACAUCUCCCCACCUUUAGCACGGAGGCCCCUGGCCAGGAAGCUCUUCAGGGAUCUCUCCCUCCCUCCUUAGGACUGUUUGUUUCUGCAGCCAGAGAUUAGGAUCAAAAGGUUUGUUCCAUGCAGGGAAAACGAUUCUUCCCACUCCUCGGAGUCAAAGGGAACAGCACAAUUAGAAACACUUCAGAUGCUUGACCCACGCUCGAGCCUCCAAACAAAAGUUGCAAGGAGAGGGUUGAUGUUUUCCAGGCCCAAUUAGCAUAAUGUUGUAAUUCCCGAGCUCUCAGGCUGCCUGCAUCCCUUCGCCCCGGCCGCCCAGCGAGCGCACGCCGGCACCAGUUCCUUCCUUCUGAUCCAUCACCAUAUGCCCGUCUUUUACAGUUCUUUGGUGCGUGAUGCUCAGAGAGUGGAUAAUUAGCUAAAUGAAUUAAUUGACAUUCAUACUUGUAAUUAGCAACCGGUUACAAGCAGCUAUUCUCCUUGGGACAGCUAAAAUUUCUCAGGGAUUGGUGUUAAAAUACUGGAAAAUCGUUCGGGGUAAGUAACGAGGGCUGUGAGUGCUGAUGGUGCCCGGGUUCUGCCUCGGCCGCCGCAUGGUAAACAAGCCCGUGCAGAAGCAGAGCAGGCUGUGGAACGUGUUGGAUCUGCCGCUGCUGCUCGGGAGGAGGAGAACUUUCCAGCUUCGGAAGAAAUCCGGGCCAGAUGGGCGGCCUCCAGCCGGCGGCUCCCACCAGCUCCCGGCUAACCCUUUCCACCCCCACUCACCCGAGAGUUCGCAGCGAGGACCCGGCAGUGGAGGCUGCUCAUGCAAAGCAAUGGGAAUUGGAUGUCCAUCUACCAGCGGAUCGCUGCUGCUGCUGCUGCUGCCGCCGCCGCUUUCAUGAAAAGCCUUUUGCUGGUUGGGGUUCUGCACGCAGGCCUUGGACUCCGGAGCCACUUCAGGCACCGGCGAUGUUUUGGCACUGGUGAUGUUUCGGCCGACGCCGAGCUCCCUCCGGCACCGAGCUGCCUCCAACCGCCGGCACAGCUGCGCGGGUGAUGUUCCAGCAGAAUAUUCCCAGUGAAUUGACAAGCACAGGCAUUCUUCCCAGCAAUGGGCACCCUAAACAGCCCCGGGUGGAAGCUGCCGGGCUGUGAUGGACCAACAGUUCAAGGAAGGGGCCAGGAGAAGGGAAGCUGCUCUGGGAGGUCAGGAAAGGCCAACUAACCACCAAAACUUGGGAGCAUUUCGAUAUCCUGAUGAGCCCUGGCGGCAGGGGCUUGAGGGCUCCUUUCUGCUCCCAGCAAGCCAGGGAUGGGUGCAGAGAUGUCGCCAGUCCAGGCCAGAGGCAAUAAAGCGCCUGGAGUGAUGCAGCAAAACAGGAUGGAGUCGCGUGUCGAAAUAAAUCAUCCAUGGAGGCAAGGCAGGCAGGAGGAGGAGGAGGUUUUCUGCUCUCGAGCCUCCCUGUGUCUAACAAAGCCUCAGAAACCCCAGGUGGGCAGUGAGAGCCGGGGCAGGAUCCGGCCAGCCAUGGCCCCAGCUGUCCCAGAGCAGAGCUGGUCCUGGCCAGGUGCCCUGCUGCUCCAGCUCUCCUGGGAGCUGGUUUUUCCAUCCCUUCCCAGCUCCCGCGGCUUCACCUUGUGGCAGGCAUUGCACAGAGCUGCCAGGAGUGAUAAAAUGGCUGUCCCCCAAAUUUAUGGAGUUUAUCUGUGAAUAACUCUUGGAGGUGAAGCGGCCGUUGAGCUGGGGAGGAGGAAGGCUUUACUUCGGGAAAAACUCUCCCAGAGGCAAUGCAGGGCAGGCAGGAGCCCAGACCCAGUUCCAGAGACCAGCAGGGACGUGCCCCACAGCCCCCCCAGCUUAUAGGGCUGGAGCAUCGCCGGGGUGAGCUCGCUGCUCGCCCACGCUGGGGGAAGCCAAGGGCUUGUUUCCCAUCCACAGCGUGUUUAUUAGGAGCUAAGUCAUGAAGAGGCUUUGGCACAUCUCUGUCGCUCCCGUGGAGCGUGUUUAGCACAGCAGAGAUCGCUGCUUCUUCCAACAGCACGUGCAUGCCCGGGAUUUCCAUGGCGGCCAGGCAUUGUGCCCCAUGCUCUCUUCCCAUGCCAAUCUUUUCUUCUCCCCCGCAAAAAAGGUUGUAUCAAUGAGCUAUGGAGCAGCAUCCUGAUUCCUGGGGAAGCACAGCUGAGGCUGAGCAGGCUGGAGCCUCCCCCUCAUGCCCCCUCCCCACUCUGCUGCAGUAACAUCCAUCCUAAGUUUCUGAGCCUCUUCUAAUUUUGGAGGCCGUUAGCAAAGCAGGCGCUGUUGCAGCCAAACGAGGCUGCCAAUGUUUCCUUUAAAAGCUGCUUUCACUCCGAAGGACUCUUCUAGAUGGUUUGCUUUUAAUAGCAGGCUGCAGGGUGGCCCAGCUCGUGGCCAGGGCUCUCUUUGGAGUGAGAAGGGACUGGAUGGCAUUGGGAGCAGGACUGGGGACGUGCAGGGAGCCACACACAUCCAUCAUGGGCCAUGACAAUGCACACGGGCAUCCCUUUCCCGGUUCAGAGCAGCAAAGAUCCUCACCCCCUUGCAGAGCUGAUCCCACUGCAGCCCAUUUCCUCCUUUCCCUCUCCAACUCGUGGGGAAAUCUUUAUGGCAUAGGGGAACAGAUACAGCCCCUAACCGUGGUGAUAUCUCAGAGGAGAAGGAAAGGCCAGAGGAGCCACAGAGAAGCAGGAGGCAGUGAGGUCAGCACACUGGUACGUGUGAGUGCUUUGAAAAACCCAAUUGCUGCUUCAGUACAACCAGAUUCAGGAAAAUGAAGCUGAAGUGUGAAAAAUGAAAGUGAAAAGAUAGGAACCAACCCACGGCUAUUUAUUCUAAAAAUACUGACCUAAAUACUUAAGCGCACAUAUAAAAGUAGUUGUCUUUGCUGAUUUCCUUUA